GACGAACGCUGGCGGCGUGCUUAACACAUGCAAGUCGAACGGAAAGGCCCUGCUUUUGUGGGGUGCUCGAGUUGCGAACGGGUGAGUAACACUUGAGUAACCUGCCCUUGACUUUGGGAUAACUUCAUGAAACUUGGGCUAAUACCGGAUAGGAGCUCCUGCUGCAUGGUGGGGGUUGGAAAGUUUCGGCGGUUGGGGAUGGACUGGCGGCGUAUCAGCUUGUUGGUGGGGUAGUGGCUUACCAAGGCUUUGACGGGUAGCCGGCCUGAGAGGGUGACCGGACACAUUGGGACUGAGAUGAGGCACAGACUCGUACGGGAGGCAGCAGUGGGGAAUAUUGCACAAUGGGAGGAAGCCUGAUGCAGCCAAGCCGCGUGCGGGAUGACGGCCAUCGGGUUGUAAACCGCUUUCGCCUGUGACGAAGCGUGAGUGACGGUAAUAGGUAAAGAAGCACCGGCUAACUACGUG
rnacentral:rRNA from 1 species